rnacentral:rRNA from 1 species
GAGUUUGAUCCUGGCUCAGGACGAACGCUGGCGGUGCGCCUUAUGCAUGCAAGUCGAGCGAAGCUUUUCAGUAGUUUACUACAGAAAAUGACUGAGCGGCGAACGGGAGAGUAACGCGUGAGCAAUCUACCUUAGUUACAGGGAUAGCCCGAGGAAACUCGGAUUAAUACCUGAUAUUCUUUACAUUUCGCAUGAAAUCAAAAGGAAAGGUCAGCCGAACUAAGAUGAGCUCGCGUUCUAUCAGCUAGUUGGUGAGGUAAAAGCUCACCAAGGCAACGACGGAUAGCUGGUCUGAGAGGACGAUCAGCCACACUGGGACUGAGACACGGCCCAGACUCCUACGGGAGGCUGCAGCAGGGAAUAUUGCGCAAUGAGCGAAAGCUUGACGCAGCGACACCGCGUGUGGGAUGACGGAUCUAGGUUUGUAAACCACUUUCAGGAGGGAAGAAAAUGACGGUACCUCCACAAGAAGCCCCGGCCAACUACGUGCCAGCAGCCGCGGUAAUACGUAGGGGGCGAGCGUUGUCCGGAUUUAUUGGGCGUAAAGAGCUCGUAGGCGGUUCAACAAGUCGGUCGUAAAAGUUCAGGGCUCAACCCUGAAAUGUCGAUCGAUACUGUUGUGACUAGGAUACGGUAGAGGUGAGUGGAAUUCCGAGUGUAGCGGUGAAAUGCGUAGAUAUUCGGAGGAACACCAAUUGCGAAGGCAGCUCACUGGGCCGCUAUCGACGCUGAGGAGCGAAAGCUAGGGGAGCAAACAGGAUUAGAUACCCUGGUAGUCCUAGCUGUAAACGAUGGAUACUAGACGUAGGAACUGGAUUGACGGUUUCUGUGUCGUAGCUAACGCGUUAAGUAUCCCGCCUGGGGAGUACGGUCGCAAGACUAAAACUCAAAGGAAUUGACGGGACCCCGCACAAGCGGCGGAGCAUGCGGCUUAAUUCGAUGAUACCCGUAGAACCUUACCUGGACUUGACAUAUAGGGUCUAGCUAUAGAGAUAUAGUGUGCAUUAGCGCCCUAUACAGGUGGUGCAUGGCUGUCGUCAGCUCGUGUCGUGAGA